AACCCUAGCCGCCGCCGGAGCAGGCCGCGACGCCGCCCACGGACGCCGCCGGAGCCAGCUAGGGCGGACUGCCGGAGCCCUGCGUCAGGGGCUCGGCUGCUCGGGGCGUCCAGAAGGCAGUGGCUGGGAGCGCGCCGGCUCAUCAGGUCCCCAAGACCCCAACCCCAACGCAUUUGACUAACGGAGCCCAGAGAAAUGAAAAGGAAGACUUUGCACAGUUGGUUUGCAAGUAGUUCGAACACCCCCCAUGUUGUUGUUCCUGAACCUGAAGCAACCCAAAUUCCAAACUUGGACCCCCUUAUUCGAACAAAUCAGAGCAGUAACCCCCAAUCGAUGAGAAUACUACCCCCCUUCAAACGAGAGCAGCAAACCCCCAAUUGAUGAGAGCAUAAACCAACCACAAACAACAAGGCUUCUUAUCCAAGAAUUUCACCCAAGUCAAAUUUUUGGUGAUCCGGCAGAUCGAAUACCAAUAGAAGAUUAUGCCCCUGAAAUUCGAAGUGAAGUUAGAAGAGCUUAUUUGUUUAAAGGAAGAAACAAAGCUGAAGGGCAUAAUUUUGAAAUCACAUUGAAUGGUACAAUCCGGAGAUCUUUUCAACCACAAUGGCUGAUUUCUUCAAUUAUCUCCCCUUGAUAGUGACUCAGCUGGGUUCUUCUUGCAAGAGAAAAGAUGCAUUACUUGCAAAGCAUCAUGAUGAUUUGAUGAAAUUGAUGGAGCAUGGUAAGAUCUCAGCUGGAACUGGGUUACAUCAAGAAACUGACCUAUCUAGACCAGGAGCUACUCGUUGGGGCUCACAUCUUAGAACCUUGCUUCGUAUUCACGCAAUGUGGAAUGCAGUAGUCGAUGUGCUAGCGGAUUAGGAUAAAAUUGCCUCUUUUUUUCUUCUAAAAGGCAUGGUAAAGUUUGAGCUUAUUUGCACAAACGGAUUAGGAUAAAAUUGCCUUUUUUCUUCUUCUAAAAGGCGUUUAAUUUACUCGUCUUUAACUUUGA